rnacentral:tRNA from 1 species
GGGGGUGUGGCUCAAGCGGUAGAGCGCUUGCCUGGCAUGCACGCGGUACUGGGUUUGAUCCUCAGCACCACAU